rnacentral:rRNA from 1 species
GUGAACGCUGGCGGUAGGCCUAACACAUGCCAGUCGAACGGCAGCACAGUAAGAGCUUGCUCUUACGGGUGGCGAGUGGCGGACGGGUGAGGAAUACAUCGGAAUCUACUUUUUCGUGGGGGAUAACGUAGGGAAACUUACGCUAAUACCGCAUACGACCUACGGGUGAAAGCAGGGGAUCUUCGGACCUUGCGCGAUUGAAUGAGCCGAUGUCGGAUUAGCUAGUUGGCGGGGUAAGGGCCCACCAAGGCGACGAUCCGUAGCUGGUCUGAGAGGAUGAUCAGCCACACUGGAACUGAGACACGGUCCAGACUCCUACGGGAGGCAGCAGUGGGGAAUAUUGGACAAUGGGCGCAAGCCUGAUCCAGCCAUACCGCGUGGGUGAAGAAGGCCUUCGGGUUGUAAAGCCCUUUUGUUGGGAAAGAAAAGCAGCAGGUUAAUACCCCGCUGUUCUGACGGUACCCAAAGAAUAAGCACCGGCUAACUUCGUG